AAUAGAUACCCAGGUAGUCCACGCCGUAAACGGUGGGUACUAGGUGUGGGUUUCCUUCCUUGGGAUCCGUGCCGUAGCUAACGCAUUAAGUACCCCGCCUGGGGGGGUACGGCCGCAAGGCUAAAACUCAAAGGAAUUGACGGGGGGCCCGCACAAGCGGCGGAGCAUGUGGAUUAAUUCGAUGCAACGCGAAGAACCUUACCUAGGUUUGACAUGCACAGGACGCACCUAGAGAUAGGUGUUCCCUUGUGGCCUGUGUGCAGGUGGUGCAUGGCUGUCGUCAGCUCGUGUCGUGAGAUGUUGGGUUAAGUCCCGCAACGAGCGCAACCCUUGUCCUAUGUUGCCAGCGGGUUAUGCCGGGGACUCGUAGGAGACUGCCGGGGUCAACUCGGAGGAAGGUGGGGAUGACGUCAAGUCAUCAUGCCCCUUAUGUCCAGGGCUUCACACAUGCUACAAUGGCCGGUACAAAGGGCUGCGAUGCCGUGAGGUGGAGCGAAUCCUUGUAAAGCCGGUCUCAGUUCGGAUCGGGGUCUGCAACUCGACCC
rnacentral:rRNA from 1 species